rnacentral:rRNA from 1 species
AGAGUUUGAUCCUGGCUCAGGAUGAACGCUGGCGGCGUGCUUAACACAUGCAAGUCGAACGGGAGCUUGAAGCAAUUUGAGCUCUAGUGGCAAACGGGUGCGUAACACGUGGAUCACCUACCUCGGAGUGGGGAAUAACGAUCCGAAAGGGUCGCUAAUACCGCAUACGCUCGCAAGAGGAAAGCCCGCAAGGGCGCUCGGAGAGGGGCCUGCGUCCCAUCAGGUAGUUGGUGAGGUAAGGGCUCACCAAGCCAAUGACGGGUAGCUGGUCUGAGAGGACGAUCAGCCACACUGGCACUGCGACACGGGCCAGACUCCUACGGGAGGCAGCAGUGAGGAAUAUUGCGCAAUGGGCGAAAGCCUGACGCAGCAACGCCGCGUGCGGGAUGAAGGCCUUCGGGUCGUAAACCGCUUUUCGGGGGGACGAGUGAGGACGGUACCCCUGGAAUCAGUCUCGGCUAACUACGUGCCAGCAGCCGCGGUAAUAC